CUGACGUGUCCAUGAAGUGUAAACAACAAUCCUGCAGGAAUCUGCAACAUGCACCGAAAAUUAAAGCAUUUUGUUGCCGAUAAUAAAGCUAUUUUAUGCUCGCGGGCAUGGAGAACUGGAGUCUUGUAUCCCUUUGUGUUUUGCUCGGUUUUACGGCGAGAUGGGCUGUAAAUCCUUGAACUCGUAUUCAGAGCCAAGCGGAUAUACCCAGAGUGGGUGGAACUGCACACGUCUCAAGGCUAUGAAAGCUUAGCCCAUAAGAUGUUUACGAGAGCCACAGCUAAGACUACUGAAGGACAGUGAAGGAUCGAACAAGAGAAGGAUCAAGUGGCCAACACAUGGGUGCAGCUUGAACGGCCUGAUAAAGAUCAAGACCAUCCUGUCCACUGAUACCCAGCUCUACCUCGGUUUGGCCAACACUCUCCUGGCUAUCCUGCCUAUGUCAAUCAAACUAUUGGUGAACACUACUCAUUGGCAGUUCGAACUUCCCUUGACCACGUUUGCCUACUACUGAAUGACCUCCCUCUGCCAGCCAUCUGUUUUUUACAGGCCUCCCUGUUCACGUAAGAAGCUACAGUAGGGGGAACCACUGAUGGAGAAAGUAUACUGGCCAAUAAUAGCAGACCAACAGACCAGGUUAAAGGUCAUAGGAGAGACUAUUCAAAAAAAAAAGUACAAUCCUGUCCAUUGAAUGUAAACUCCUAAAAUCGCUGUUGGACAAAUCCUCGGAAAGUAUAGGAUGCUUUGUCAGAUGAAUGUUUGUGUUGAUGUUCUAUGGAUGGUUUUAUUCCCGGAAGAGUCACGUAAAGAUUCAAAUGAUGUCGGUAUGAAGGGAACAGUCGGAGAGGAAGCGAAACGGACUAACUUUCACCAGCUGUCGUUAACUUCUUCCAGCAGUACUAAUUGCUGUGCGUGUGGUUUAGUAUAGGGAUGUCUGUGGAUUACACUGCAUUGCCAGCAUACCUCUCCUCUAAGCAUGUCUUGUAUAGGGACAGCAAGUCAUUCUGUGUAUCAACUCUAGUACAGUCUAACUGACAGGGCCCGCAUUGUGCAUCUCCACUCCACCCAUUGAUGGAGACAUACAUCUUUUGUUUGGGUAAAUUGAAGACAUAAUUGCAUAAUUUAGUCAAAUGGUUUCUUAAGCACAGUUAUUGUAAGAGCGUCUGAAUGUGCUGGCUUUGUUGAACUGGCGAAGUAUGUAUUUAAAAAAGAAAUGUGAUGGGCAUUUAUUUUGCCAAUGAAUAGAUGGGGUUUUGUUGGAUUUAAGAAGGCCCUACUACGGCUGUCUGAAUUGUAAACACACGUCUGUCUUUAUGUGGCAUAGUCAGAGUUUAUUGGAUGGAGAUAUGUGUUUCUGAGAGACUACAUUGUUCUUGUGCUGCCCCUCUAUCUUUCCUCCGCAGUAUGCUGCCAUUGUUACUGAAGGAAGGUCUGUUGGUACGUGGUCACCUCCCUGGCCUUCCUGUUCGUCAGCGUAUACCUGCUUUUCCGCCCUCGGAGCAUUGCUCAGUAGACGAGCUGCGCCUGGGGCCCGACCACCGCCCCAUCCGUAUGCCCAGCAUGGACCACCUCUAUGUCUCUCUGUGAAAUGGAAAUGCUAAAGUAUUCAUUCAUCCAUUCAUAUCGAAACAUUUAUCCGAUUGCAAAGACAACACAGAUUGCGUUCUUUACCAGGCAGAUAGUUGCAAUGUUGUCUGUUCUAGUAGUGGGUAGGGCAGGGGUUGCCCAAUAUUUUCUUUACCUUACUCAAGUUACUUCAGAUAUGUAAAAAAAAAAUGUUCACAGCCACCCGGUGGGAAGAUGAGCUGGAGGUUUUUGUCACAGUAAUUUCAUGGUAAUUUCAGAAGGUUGUUGUCACUAACCACGUUUCCAUCCACAGUUUUGAUGUAAAGUCAUACCGUAGAAAACAAACAAAUCACGACAGCUGUGACGGAAACAGGGAGAUUGGUGGGGUCUUUUUGUGUCUAUAAAAUAAAUGAUGUGCUGAAUGGCGGUGGAAACGUCUUUUAUGCGCAAAUAUGAAUAUAAUAACCAUUCAUAUCGAAGUGAAACUUGGAGUCACGCGAUGAUAUCACAGGAGGUUGGUGGCACCUUCAUUUGGGAGGACGGGCUCGUAAUGACUGGAGCGGAAUCAGUGGAAUGGCAUCAAAAACGUCCAACACAAGGUUUCCAGGUGUUUGAUGCCAUUCCACUUGCUCCGUUCCGGACAUUAUUAUGAGCUGUUGUCCACUGCAUAAUAUGGUGUGUGGUCCUCCCACUAUGACUCGGGGAAAGCAUGCAGUUUAUUAGGCUACGGAUGAAAUAAGUUACGCUGAACUUCACAGGGUGGUGAACGUGUUGUUGAUGCUCCUUUCCAAUAAAUAUCAAGGGUCUUAUUCUGGUGACACGAUGAUCGAUGCUUGACUGCCGUUUGACAAAAAAAAAAUAUUCGGUCUUUUAUCCAUAAUAAUCUCAUCAUGUAGACUAGCCUACCCGCACAGUAUCAGCAAGCUGUUGGCUAGAAUGCACAUGUCAAGACCAGAGUUUGCUAUUUAACUAUAUAACAAUGUUUUAGUACAAUGGAAACACGUAGAACUUUACAUUGUUUUUUUCCGUACAUGACAAAUGAAGUGAAACAGUACAUGUUGUGUCGACUACGUCAUCACGCACCGAAGUUUGAUUGGUGGAAACACCACUGGUGGGAAAUGGGCAUAUUUUCUUUAUGCAGAUUUUUUAAACAUUUGCAUGAAAAUCUGUCACCUAUUGGAUGGAAACCUAGCUACAGUAAUUUCAUAGCCUGAAUUGCAUCAUCGUGAGAAGAUGCAUAUCUCUGCAACUGUAUAAAUAAAUAUAAUGUGCCACGGACUGUAAGCUGUGUAAGCUGCCUGGGAUGAAAGCCACUGCCAGGCCCCAAGUAUUAUUUAUCACUUAUUUAAGAUGCAGGCGUCUGACAUGGCUUCCUGGCCCUGCCCAGCUCUACAGCUGCACCCUCCCCUCCCUUAGCGACAGAAAUGGGGUGCAUCCCAAAUGUCACCCUACUCCCUAUAGUGCACUACUUUUGACUGUAGGGCUCUGGUAAAAAAAGUAGUGCACUGUAUAGGGAAAAGGGUGCCAUUUGGGAUUGGGACGUAGCCAGUGACACCGCUACUGGGCGGUGCUGUGCGGUGUGGGAGAUCACGAGAAGGAAGUGGUGUCUUUUUAUAGAGUCAUUAACACAAGUUUUGCCUAGAUAUAUUUAUUUACACAAGAGGCAUAAAUAAGGAGGCCCGGAGUUGGGGCUAGGGUUUAAUAGGGUUGGUCUCAUACGGAGACGCUUACGCAACCUACCCUCACUGAUCCCUUGGCCCGUAGGUCCCAAAUAGACAUGUUAAUGUUGAUCCUGCUACCAACACUGUUUGCCUUUCUGUUCGGGACGCACCGGCCGAGGCAACAUAAAUGUCAGCUUGUGAUGAGGGAGUGUCCUGUGAUGCGGGAUCGUCAUGCAAUGCCUCAUUUUAUUUUUGAUCUUGUCUACUUUGAAUAGUUAUUAUGACUAAGCCACACCCAUCCCACUCACGUUAGCAGUUCAGAACGAGAAAGUGUAGGCUAUACAGAAAUAUUUGAAAUUGAAAAUCAUUAAAUGAAGUAAUGAGGAUGUCUACCAGCCUAAUUGAGUUGGAGAUUACGUCUCACCUUCCAGUGUUCGAACUGGAAUGGAGAUUUCUCUUCGUGCUACUUACUCCGUGCAGCCAAUUGCGAUGUCUGCUUUAGGUAUAAUGCAGGAUAACACUUGUAGAUUUGACCGCUCUAACCCAGUUCCACCUCCAACACUACCCCCCAAAAAACCUGCUAUGCUGGUAUCGGCUUUCGCGGAUCUGAUAGAAUCCAGCCCUUAAUUAAUCUAAAAUCUAUUCAUGUAAAAUGUCAUUAGGACAUUAUCAAUUUGAAUGGCAUGUCAAAAUCAGUUUCUGAUUUGGCUCGUGGUCUAACUGUGACGGCUUAACUCCCUUAGAAAACUAUAGACCUGAAAAAUCUCUCUCCAUCUCUCUCUCUCUCAAUCUCUCCUGCAGUUCUACAUCUCCAUCGUGGCCAUGGCUGGUUUGUGCUUUAUGAGCAUGGCGCUGGCCCCUCUGGCCAGGCUGCCUGAUUUGUUUCCUCUCCUGGUGUCAGUGUUCUUUUCCACCACUUCCCGGGCCUCCUCUUCUACUUCAACCUUGUCCAGAUUGCCGAGCCGCCUCCACCUGGGAGUAAGAAUCAGAGUAGUCGCUACCCGGUAGAAAGAAAACUUACUGAAAAGCAAACUAUGCACAGUGCCUCAGUCACUGACCACCAAGGACCAAUAGGACUCAUGGAGAAAUGCUACUAGUGUAUAAUCUUUAUUGUAGGGAUAAUCCUCCUGUCAACAUGAAUGGUUGGUGUUUUGUCAAUGCCUAAUUAUGUACAUCAAACUUACAUUUUUAUGUUUUGUUUUUAACUUGAAUUGUUUUUCAAUAUUUCCAAAUGUUUGUUCCAUCAUUACAAUUAUUUUGUACAAACUGUAUUUUUCUUGAAAAAUUAAAUCACCUCAGAUAUGA